UCUAUCCCCAGAAGCCACAGUGUUGAGAUUCCUCGUCUACACUCCCUCUGAUUUCUCUUUAAGAAAGAGAGCAGGUAUCUGUAACACUUGCUGGGGCAGGAAGACCAUGGAGCCUUGAGGAGAAGAAAACCAAGGCAACCAAAGCAAAAAAAGUUGGCUCUGUUUUCAGAGAAGCCUGAGAAUAAAAGUGUGACUGUAAAGCAAACAAACAAACCAAAGCUGGAAGCCGCAGUCCCACACUCGGCUGGAAUGGAGGAUUCCUCCUGCACGCUAACUUCUCAGCAACUGACUUUGGAUGGAAGUCCUGGCUGGGGAAGUGAUUCCAUCGUGGUGUUCCUUUCAACUCCAACUGACCACUUCCCAUCCCUUUAGCUGUGAGGAAGAACCAAACGUUCCCUAGCUCAACAUUUUCAGAAGGGCAUGUUCCAGUCUCCUCCUAAAACAGACUCGAGAAACAGGCCAAGUAGCAGCCUUGGCUUAACCAGCAUAGGCUCACACAAGGACAGGAAAUUCAUCUGGGCUGCUGACAUUCUGAAUAGCUGCCACCUUCGAUGCCAGGAGAGGAGGUAAAGGACAUCGGCAGUGUCGUUAAAUGAAAUGGAUGGUAAUUACAGAGGAGUGAGCUUCGGAAGCUCCUAAAUCUUCUCUGAGGAUGCUGCUGUCACUACUGGUAGCUCUGCUUGCCCCUCCUACACAUCCAUUGCCUUUAGCAUUAGAAAGCACUAUUGCACAACCUAAUAACUGACCCUGCGCACUUGACUGGGAUCAAAAUACCCGCAGCUGGGAAGACAGCUGUCAGUGAAGUUACGUAAGCACGGGGAUUCAUCUUCAAUAUCCAGGACCCACAUAAAAAGCCAGGGGUGGUGGUACAGUCUUGAAAUCCCAGCACUGGGGAAGCAGAGACAGGCAGGUCCCUUAAGCUCACCGGCCAACCACUAUAGCCUAAUCAGUGAGCUUCAGGUCCUCCAAGAGAGACAAGGUAGCCAGAUCCCAAGGGGUGCUACCUGAGGCUGACCUCUGGCCUUCAUAUGCAUGCACACACAUGCCCACAAAGAUCCACACAAUGUGCUCCUUUGGAAAAUCAAACCCACCCUAUACGUCUGAGGGUUUUACUCAGUCUGGACAUUACAAAGGAGUGCUGUGUCUACUAUAGUCCCAUUGACCUCCAGGGCUAAAGACUGGAAUUCUAGGCCUCAGAUAUGUUACCUUCUUUGCUCAGAGAUUGUUCUCAAAAAUUUUAAGACACUUUCUUGCUGGCAUCACCCUCUGGAUCCUUCUAUGUUGGCUUCCCAGGUUCUGGGUCUACAGAUGUCUAUAGCACCUCUGCUCUGCUUCUCGCCCAGCUUGGUGUAGAAUACAGAUGGUAUUGUGGAUGCUGGGAAGUGCUUGCUAAUGGAAACUUGAUAUGGCUGCCUCCUGAGAGAAUCUGCCAGAGCCUGACAAAUACAGAGGUGGAAGCUUGCAGCCAACCAUUGGACUGAGCGUAGGGUUCCCCGAUGGAGGAGUUGAAGAAGGGACUGAAGGAGCUGAGGGGGUUUGCAGUCACAUGGAGGGAGCAACAGUGUCAACCGGCCAGACCUGCCCCAUCCCCCCAGACCCCGGGACUGGACCACCAAACAAAGAAUACACAUGGAGGGACCCAUGGAGCUGGCUGCAUGUGUGGCAGAGAAUGGCUUUGUUGGACAUCAAUGGGAAGAGGGGUCCUAAGGGUGUAGAGGAAUGCCAGUGCAGGAAGCUA
rnacentral:lncRNA from 1 species